rnacentral:rRNA from 1 species
GAACGCUGGCGGCAGGCCUAACACAUGCAAGUCGAACGGUAACAGGAAGCAGCUUGCUGCUUUGCUGACGAGUGGCGGACGGGUGAGUAAUGUCUGGGAAACUGCCCGAUGGAGGGGGAUAACUACUGGAAACGGUAGCUAAUACCGCAUAACGUCGCAAGACCAAAGAGGGGGACCUUAGGGCCUCUUGCCAUCGGAUGUGCCCAGAUGGGAUUAGCUAGUAGGUGGGGUAAUGGCUCACCUAGGCGACGAUCCCUAGCUGGUCUGAGAGGAUGACCAGCCACACUGGAACUGAGACACGGUCCAGACUCCUACGGGAGGCAGCAGUGGGGAAUAUUGCACAAUGGGCGCAAGCCUGAUGCAGCCAUGCCGCGUGUAUGAAGAAGGCCUUCAGGUUGUAAAGUACUUUCAGCGGGGAGGAAGGGAGUAAAGUUAAUACCUUUGCUCAUUGACGUUACCCGCAGAAGAAGCACCGGCUAACUCCGUGCCAGCAGCCGCGGUAAUACGGAGGGCGCAAGCGUUAAUCGGAAUUACUGGGCGUAAAGCGCACGCAGGCGGUUUGUUAAGUCAGAUGUGAAAUCCCCGGGCUCAACCUGGGAACUGCAUCUGAUACUGGCAAGCUUGAGUCUCGUAGAGGGGGGUAGAAUUCCAGGUGUAGCGGUGAAAUGCGUAGAGAUCUGGAGGAAUACCGGUGGCGAAGGCGGCCCCCCUGGACGAAGACUGACGCUCAGGUGCGAAAGCGUGGGGAGCAAACAGGAUUAGAUACCCUGGUAGUCCACGCCGUAAACGAUGUCGACCUGGAGGUUGUGCCCUUGAGGCGUGGCUUCCGGAGCUAACGCGUUAAGUCGACCGCCUGGGGAGUACGGCCGCAAGGUUAAAACUCAAAUGAAUUGACGGGGGCCCGCACAAGCGGUGGAGCAUGUGGUUUAAUUCGAUGCAACGCGAAGAACCUUACCUGGUCUUGACAUCCACGGAAGUUUUCAGAGAUGAGAAUGUGCCUUCGGGAACCGUGAGACAGGUGCUGCAUGGCUGUCGUCAGCUCGUGUUGUGAAAUGUUGGGUUAAGUCCCGCAACGAGCGCAACCCUUAUCCUUUGUUGCCAGCGGUCCGGCCGGGAACUCAAAGGAGACUGCCAGUGAUAAACUGGAGGAAGGUGGGGAUGACGUCAAGUCAUCAUGGCCCUUACGACCAGGGCUACACACGUGCUACAAUGGCGCAUACAAAGAGAAGCGACCUCGCGAGAGCAAGCGGACCUCAUAAAGUGCGUCGUAGUCCGGAUUGGAGUCUGCAACUCGACUCCAUGAAGUCGGAAUCGCUAGUAAUCGUGGAUCAGAAUGCCACGGUGAAUACGUUCCCGGGCCUUGUACACACCGCCCGUCACACCAUGGGAGUGGGUUGCAAAAGAAGUAGGUAGCUUAACCCUCGGGAGGGCGCUUACCACUUUGUGAUUCAUGACUGGG